UAAUUGAAACCUAGCCCUGGGAAGAUCCAUGACAUGAUCAAGGCUCUGGUAUCACCACCGAGAAUGUUACACGGUGAAGAUUUUAACGAUGAACCUGAAGAUGUUGAGGGUCAGGACGGAGAGCGGCGGCAAAGGUGAUCACUCGGAACAUGCGUGAAAACCUGACGGGCCACCGGAGGGAUGAAACUCUUCUUUCUUCCAUGUAGAAAAGUUUAAACUUGGUAAAAAAUUCUUGAAACCCAACCCCUCCUGUACACAUAUAAUAUACUCAAUGCUGCAUUUUAAUUCAUUCACGUAGGUCUCUCUCUCUCUCUCUGUUUUUUUUUUUUUUUUUCAUGAAAUUAAAAGAUAUUGGAUAAGCUGAGAUCAAGGGUUGCCCUCAGCAUUAAUUUAGGGCAAGGAAUAUUUUAUUAUGUAAGGGUAAUGAUAGUGGGUGGUGGUAGGUUUCUAGGUAGCUAUCUCUCCUACCGUCUAUAAAUGCCCAAAGAUCCCACCUCUCAAUUUAUACGGUUAAUGUCAGCGUCACCACUUAAAUUUAUCGUCAACAUUUCUGGGUAGGUGGUCACCACUGUAGGCUGCUAUUCUGCCCCAUGCAAUAGCGAGACCCGCAAAGGUUUGCAAUUUAAUGUGUUUUUUUUAUUAUAAUUUAAUUUUUUAAAUAAUAAUAAUAAUAUUUUUAAAUGGUUUUGAUAUAUUGAUAUUAAAACUAAUUUUUUAAAAAUAAAAAAUAUAUUAUUUUAAUAUAUUUUCAAAUAAAAACACUUUAAAAAUUAAAUCUUACCACUUUUAUUAAAUUAAUAUGGUGUCCAGGUCAGCUUGAACGUACUUCAACUAAUCCAAUAAUUACGAGUUCAAGUCCCUUUAUGAUCAUUUUAGAUUGGUUUUUGUUGUAGAUUUUGAGGUUGCUCAAGGGUGUUAUUGUAAUUGUUAUAUAUGUAUUAUUUUUAAAAAAACUUGUCGGUGAUAGCAACGCAUGCGCCAGUGUGCGGACGAUCCUCAUGUCAUUUAGUCAGCUCGUGUGAGGCUAUUCAAUCAUUAAACAUCGCUUUAUAGGGAGGCGUUUGAAAGAUCUCAGCGUCAUUUACACGGUGGUAUGACGUGUGUAUCAAAAGAGUUGUUGGUUUGGCAUUGGAGACCAUUUUUCUCUCCUUAUUCUUCUAUUUCUCCACCUCGAAACUUGCGCCACCCUUGCAAAAUUUCAGAGCAAUACCUUCAAUUUUUAUCUCCUUCACAUUUGGUCUCUAUCUUUUUUCACUUUUUUUUUAAAUAAACUAUAAAAUUAUAAAUGUUUAUUAAUUUUAUAACUACCAUUUUUUAAUAUAUACAUAAUCUAUCACAUUAUUUUUAAUUUCACACUGCUAUUUUUUAAUCUAUAAAUAAUCUAUCAAAUUACAAAUGUUUUUCAAUUUUAUCCCAUGUGAUUUUUUAUAUUUUAAAUUUGGUCAUUUUCUUUUAAUUGUUAUUUAUUUUAUUUGGGAUCAUUUUUUUAAUUUUUCCUUAGAAAUUUAAUCAUUUUUGGGUUUUUUUAUCAAAUUUUAUCUCCAUUAUUUUUGUUGUUUUUUUCUUUUGCAAGUUUUUUAUUAAUCUUUUUUCCAUGAUUUUAUAAUUCAAAAUUAAAUUUGUUGAGAGUUAAUUUUCUUAAUUGAACUCGGGUUCAGGAUCUCACAAGUUGUAGGUUUUAAAGAUCAUAUUAGGUUUAAGAGGUUUGCCCGUGUUUUCUUAGUUUUUUUCUCUUUUUUUUUAAGUUGAAGUUUUCUAUUUUUUUAUCCAUAUUUUUUUAAGUUUUGUUUUUUGCAGUUUGAUUAUGUAUAGUUAGCACUCUAUAAUUUUUUUCAAUUCCAUCCAUACUAUUUUUUAAUCUAUAAAUAAUCUAUCAAAUUAUAUAUUUUUUUCAAUUUCACUCCUAUGAUUUUUUAUUUUUCAAAUUUGAUCCUUAUUUUUUUAAUUGAUAUUUAUUUUGUUUGGAAUCAUUUUAAAAACUAUAUAUUUUUAAAAAUUUUCUUAGGUUUUUUCUCUCUCAAAUUUUAUUAUCAUUCUUUUUUUGUUUUUUUUUUUGCUUUUACAAGUCGACACGCGAUUUACAACCAAGCACUCCACCCCAUAAAAAUCCUUCAGUUUGAUUCCCUAUUUUUAAUUAAUAUUUUCUAACUAUUUUAGCAUUCAAAAUUAAAAAUUUGAGAAUUAAGCCUCUUGAUUGAAGUCGGGUCUAAAAUUUAAUGAGUUGCAAGUUUUAUAAAUUAGACAAAGUUUGAGGUUCACCUGGAAUUUGUUUUUUUUUUUUUUUAAAGAUAAUAUUUUCUUCUUCUUAUCUUGGAGUUUUGUUUGUUAUUUUUUGUGGUUUUUCUAUUAAGUUAGUAUUGGGUUGUUUGAUAAUCCAGAUAGGCUCGGGUCAAGUCUAUUCUUUCUUUUAAAUUCUUUUAUUGUUUUUGUUUGCUAAUUUAAUUAUUGUUGUUGUAUUUUUUUUUUAAAUUAUCAAUUAAAUUAACUACUCGUGACUUGAAUUAUUUUUAACCUGACAUGUUUUACUAGCGACAUACUCAGCCCACGGAGGAUCAUAGUUAACAAAUCUUAAUACCAAGACUAAUGGAAAAUGAGCCAACCAUACCAUAGGCAACAACUUCUUAAUUAUUGAUGUAACCCCAUGAAAGCUCAACUAACAUAAAGUUUAUUAUAAAAUUCAAUUAUUUUAAGUUUAAUAUUGGAAACAUUACACGCAGUUGAAUUUGUUAACACAUUUGCAUAUUAUUUUUAGGUGGGAUAUAUUAUUAUUUAUACAUGGAGAGGAGCAUCCUCUUUUGUCGUCGUCCUCGCCGGAUGGAAAAGAAAAAUGGAGAAUCUCAUCCUCUUGCAACCCGAGGAGGGAAAACUACAAAACCCACAAGUUAAGAGCAACUUAAAAUACUUGUUUAUGCAUGACAAUUAAGAAGUUUGUCCUCGAGGAGAUGAGUUGAUGUUUUAUUAAUAAAUAAUUAUCACGACUACAUGUAUUUUUUUUCCCAUUAUCAGAAGUAUCCUCCGGGCCAGGAAAGCAGGGAACAUGUUAGGUGGAACGAUGUGGAAAAAUUUCAGUAAGAUUCAACCUUCCGAUCACAACUUUUCCCUGUUUUUUAUUUAUUUAUAUUUUUAAAAUAUUUUUUUAAAAAUAUAAAUGUUUUAAAUUUUUUUCUUUGCUUCGUAUUAAUAUUUUUAUAAUAUUUCAGAUCAUUUUGAUGUACUAAUAUCAAAAAUAAUUUUUAAAAAUAAAAAAUAUUAUUUUAAUGUAUUUCUGAGUGAAAAGCAUUUUAAAAAACAACUACAGCUACACUCUCAGAUACGCUGAGUCUUCGGAAGCAUUACUGACCGUGGAUGUGUUUGUCAAUGUAGUUGAAAUUGUGUUUUUUAAUAGUUUAUUUUUAAAAAAAUUUAAUUUUUUUUAUGUUUUCAGAUUAUUUUAAUAUCAUAAAUAAUUUUAAAAAUUUUUAAAAUUUUAAUAUAUUUUUAAAUAAAAAAUAUAUUAAACUACCAUCCCUGUCACAUUGUCAAGAACACAUAAUUUUCCCCUCCUCCUGAGUUUACAAUUGACUUUAAAUGGUUUUUGGGAAUCAAUGGUCGGAUCAAAACCGCCAAGUACGUGGAUAACUUGGAUAUUUACUCAAGAUCUCCCCCGUAACUACACAAAAUUCACAUUAUUAAAUCAUAUCAAGUCAAUUGAGAUUUGUUACUUCAUAAUAAAAUAAUAAGAUGGCAUUUAUUAAUUAAUUUGGUAUGGGGCCAAAAAGAAAAGAAAUUAAAGAAAAAGUUGCUUUCCCUAUAGACACUGGUAGGAUAGAUAUUAAUUCAAUUCAAUAAAAGAAAUAAAUGUUCACCAUAAAUUACAUGCUUGAAGAAUAAAUGUGGUGUGAAUAAAAAUGUGCCCUAAGGGCUCCAUUUUGUAUUAUAUUUAAACUGACCACGACUUAAAAAGUUCUUUAGUUUUCAUUGCUUAAAUUUAUUUUUUAUUUAGAAUUAUAAUAACAACUUGUAUUUAAAAAAAUUAUAAUUUAUAAUUUUUUUUAAAACUUGCCUUUUUAAAUUAUUACUGUAAAAACAUUUUUGGAUCGCGAUGUUUUUUUUAAAUGCUUAUCGCUCGAAAAUACAUUAAAAUAAUUAAUUUUUCUCAUAUAUAUUUAUUUUUAUUUUUAACAUUAGCACACCAAAAUCAUCAAAACAUAAUAAAAAAAUCCAAUCUGAUGUUUUUUUAAGUUAAACACACUUUUAAAAUAUAAUCAAACACAAUUUCAAAUACAAAACCAAUAGCUUUUUUUAAAACUUGCCUUUUUAAAUUAUUAUUGUAAAAACUUUUAUGGACUAGGAUUUUAAAAAAAAAAUACUUCUCACUUAAAAAUACAUUAAAAUGGUUAUUAUAUAUAUAUAUAUAUAUAUUAUUUUUAACAUCAACACAUCAAAAUCAUAAAAAAAUAAUCCAAUUUAAUAUAUAUUUUAAAUUAAACACACUUUUAAAAUAUAAUCAAACACAAUUUCAAAUACAAAUCAAUCAUUCUUUCUUACAAGGAUGGAUUGAGUCUUGUCUAUGAUGAACAUUGCGGGCUCCUCUUCUUGUCAUGUCAAGAACAAGAAAUGAAGGGCAUGCAUGCAAGAGCCAAAAUUUGAAUGCAAGAGAGCCUCUUAUGGCCACAGAGCUCAAUCAUGGAGUCACAUUUCUUUUUUGCAGCAAAGGCAGUGAGUGUACUCAUAAUAUCCUCCAUGUUUUCACCUUUCAGUGAUUUUUUUCCCGUUGCAUCUUAUCCUUUGAUGUCUCCCAAAUCAUUGCUAACAUUACACGAACGUGGUGGUUAUUAUUAUAACUACUGUUCACUUUGAAUUGCAAAUUUCACGUACUUGCUUUCUUUUAGGGUUUAAUUUUAAAUAGAUCUAUUCUCCUAGUUAAAAGAGUUUGAUCUUAAUAUUUCCCUAAAAAAAAAUUGAUUUGAAAUUUCUUUAAAAUAUUUCAAACUAAGUAGCAUACGUAUUAGAUUUGAUCCACUGUGCUUGUACUGUAAAGAUGAUAAAUAGAAAAAAAAAUCAUUUAAACAUGUGUGGAGUUUGUUUUUGCGUUUUAAAAAUGUUUUUGAAAAAAAUUAAAUUUUUUUAUUUACUUUAAAUUAAUAUUUUUUGGUGUUUUUAGAUUAUUUUGAUACGCUCGUGUCAAAAAUAUUUUUUUAAAAACAAAACAAAUUAUUUUGAUGUAUUUUUAAGUAAAAAACACUUUGAAAAACAAUCACAACUAUACUAUUAAACAAACACCCGCAACUUAAUUAACAUUUUUAAAAAAAAAACAAAUUAUUUUGAUGUAUUUUUAAGUAAAAAACACUUUGAAAAACAAUCACAACUACACUAUUAAACAAACACCCGCAACUUAAUUAACAUUUUUAAAAAAUAAUAUCAUUUUUUUUUCCAAAUAUUUUUUUAAAAAUAUAGAUCUACAUCAACUUGUUAAUUUAAUAAUUGACUGUUAAAGCUGUGAUAUGAGUUAAAUUUUAAUAAUUAUUUUAAAUAGAUCCAUUCUCCUAAACUAAAAGUUUGAUAUGAUUAUUUUUCUUGGAAAAUUUUCGUACGAGAUUUCUUGAAAAUACUUCAAACUAGGUAGUAAAUAUAUAUAUUGGAUUUGAUUAGGGAUGAGAAAAAAACUAAGAAAACAAAAAAAAAAUUGAAAAAAUCAAUCCGUGAAAAAAAACUGAUUAAAAAUUUAAAAAAAUCAACUGGGUUGAUUUCGGUUUUAUAAGUCUAAAACUAAAAAAACCGAAUCAAAUUCAAACCGAAAAAAAUUCUAAAAAAAACCAAGCUAAACUAAAAUAACAUAGUCAAACUAAUUUUAAUCGAUUUUUAUUCUAGAAAACCAAACUAAAUUAAAAUUGGAUGGUUUAAACUUGUUUUGAUUUAUUUUUAAAAUUUUAAUUUAAUUAUUAUUAUUUUUAAAAAAUUAAAUAAAUCGCUCGAGAGAUAAUCCUUAUAUUGUAAAAAUGAUAAAUAGAAAAGGAAAAACCCACUGCAUUAAAGAUUACUGAAAAAAAAAGCUAAUGAUUGACAAUAAUAAAUAGUAUACUUUUUUUGUUUGUUCCAUGAUCGAAUUUUAUAGAUAAAGAGCAUUUUUUUUCCUUCUCUUCUGGUCUAGUUUAUUUUCGCUCAAGCAUUUUUAAUUAACAUGUAUUAGAUAUUUGUUACUGUAUUAAUUAAUAUAUUAAUCUUGUUUCUGGUUUUACUGUAUUAAGUAUUAAUCAUCAUUUUAAGAAUCAAAUAGCUAGGGUAAUUCAUUAAUUAGCAUGCAAUAAUUUCACAAAUUAACACAAGAAAGACUAAAAAUCAAUGUUCCAUAUCAAAAGAAAAAAAAAUCAUUAAAAUAGAGAAAAAAAGAAUAUGAAGGGUAGUCCUGUAGAUUCUUUAUUUUUCACCUCUAUUAAAAAUUAAUACGAGAAAAGUUAUAAUAUCUGUGAUAUGAAAUAGCCAUAUAAUGAAGAUUGUUAUCAUAUUGUAAAUUAAUAAUGCUUGGAAAAGUAUUUUUUUUAUUAGACACGAGAUUAAUAUAUAUAUAUAUAUAUAUAUAUAUAUAUAUAAUAUAUAUAUAUAUAUAUAUAUUCUUUUAGAUUAGCUAAAAAUAUUUUUUGUUAGCUUAUUUUUAAUAUUUAUUUUAUUCUAAAAAUGAAAAAAAAAAACAUUUUCGAAGUAAAAUCGAACGUUAACCAACUCGUAAUCGAAACACGUAAAUAAAUCAGAAUUAAGGAAACCAGUUCAAGUCCGACACUUCCUUCCUUCUCUCUCACUUCCUAGUCGGUGAACAAAAAAACAAAACACCAAAGUCUCUUUCUUCUCUCUGCUGAAAUCACACGCUGUGCUGUGCCUGUGACAUCAUCCUUGCUCUACAGCGCGAAUCUCCGGUCACAUUCCACCGGAAUGUCAGAUUCCGUCUGCCAGGUCUCUAUCUCUGCCUCUCUCUAAAGAACUUUCUUUCUAUAUUGUGUCAGCUGCUGCUCUUUUAGAGCACACAAUCACUUUUUUCUGUUCAUCGCCUCUCUACUUUUUCCUCCCUUUCUCCGAUCUCUCCUUUUCUCUUAACCCCCUUUGCUCUUCUUUUCCGGCUCUGUAAAAAAAAUGGCUGCAAACGAUGGACUCUGUAAAGCUUUUUUGGAAGCUGAUUAGCUUUAAAACCUAUACCUUUUCAAAAAUUUUGACUGAAUUUCAAUUUUUUUUGAAUGAACUGGGUUCUUGACUACUUUUUUCAAAACAAAAAUGGGUUUUGUUUUGUUUUUGUUACUGAUGGGAGAAAUUGACAGAACAUGGGAAUAGGGAAUAUUGUUUGCAGUAAAAGGGAGCUGUCCUUUUGGUUUGCUUUUCUCUUAAAUCAAGGUGGCUUCUUUGUGUUGAUUUGUUUAGAUUCUUUUACUUUCUUAACAAGCGGUUUCUUUUAUUGAUUUACUUGAUUCUCGUGCCCAUUUCCUUUUCUUUCACUGCAAAAUCCAAAUCAUUAGUGGUAUCUUCUGAGCUCUCAUACUUCUGCAGAAAGAGGGAUAAGAAGGGGAAGGGUAGGUAGUAGUGAGUUCAAGUUUUGAUAAAACGGAUGUCAUUUGGUUCUGAUUGAUCUAAGUCUGCAGAGGGUUUUGCCUGAUUUGGAGAAGCUACUUUCUUCAUGUCCUGUCUUUCCUAUGUAAUUUCCAUGUCGUGUCUUUCCUAUGCAAUCAUUGACAAUAAUAAGAUUUGGGGUUUCUGUUUAACUUUUUAGAAACCUCACUUUUGUUUUUCCCCGUUAAUCUGUUAAUGCAAUCAUUUUAGCAGUAUGUUGUUUCUCUCUGUGCUUUUCUGUGUCUCUGAACAGAUGUCUUGUUUUAGAGUUGGAGUUUCUGUUUUUUCACGAGGUGCUAAACUGGCAAUUGAUCUGAUGAAUUGUGUUUUACAGUAGGUGUUGAGAUGAACGGGAUGCAGUACAGAAAGGGUCAGAAAAUAGAGAAACCGUUUCCAGGAUGCUUGGGCAGGAUGGUGAAUCUUUUUGAUUUAAGCAAUGGGGUCGCUGGAAACAGGCUGCUCACAGAUAAGCCACAUCAUGAUGGUGAUUAUUUUGUCCAAAUUGUUCUUGCUUGAAAUUCUGUAGUUGAGAUUCUCGUUUCCGUGACAAGCAGCUGUUGCCUGGCUUUAGUAGGUGUUGAUUUUAAUAAUUUUAACUGCUUCGCAAUUUGCUGAUUCAAACAGCUUCAGUCAUCUGUUGUUACGGUUUUGUUAUUCAGGGUGUUUAAGCAAUAUAAAUGAGUCAUCUAGCAUGUUUUGCAUCUGUUGUUGUCUGCUUUUGUGGGCAUUCUGUCUUUUCCAGCCAUCACAGAAUCUCAAUUUGCGUCUUCUGGUUUGCUUAACUCGAUUCGGAGCUCCUACAUGCACCACCGGAACGCAUUACUUUUUAACUUGUUUGCAGGAGAUGGUUAGGAAUAAUUACCUUUCUGGCCUGACUGGGUCUGAAUGCCUGUUUUAUUUUAAGUAGGAGCAGAUCCUUCCUAACUUGUCCUGUGUAGGAAUAAUGGUGGCUGUUUAUUUUUCUAUUAUUGUUGGUGGUGCAUCUUGCAUUAUAUUAUGUCAAGCCAACUGUUGCUGACAUGGAGAUGGUGGUUUGGCAGGUUCUUCAAUCUCAAGGAGUCAAUCAGAUAUGGCAAGGAUGUUGAGUGUACCCUUUGGAGAUCAGGUUGAGGAUAAAAUGGUAAACUAUUGGAAAUUGUUUAUUUGUAAUACUGACCAUAGUCCAGUGAAGGGAGAGAUUCUUUGCAGAACUUGUCUGCAUUUCUCACACCUGCAUUAUAGGAUACUACAAUAUAGUGUGUACUGAUCUAUGUAUGGUCUGCAGAUUGUAUCCGAGUUAAGGAGAAGCUCCUUGAAUAAGAAAGCAAAUGCAACACCUAUGAAGACACUCAUUGCCCAAGAAAUGUCCAAAGAAGUGGAAUCUAAGCAUAAUCCACCCAAUUUGGUUGCCAAGUUGAUGGGACUUGAUACCCUCCCUCACCAGCAGCCUGUUGCAGCUGCUGCACAAAGAAGCCACUCUAGAGAUUAUUCGAGGCGUUCUUUAAGUCACUCUGGGAUAUUUGUGGAGUCUUGGGAUGAAGAUCAUAGUUGUUUGGACAAGCAGAUGCCUAGUGAAGGUCACCUGUGCCAAGAGCAAAGUGAAUACAAAGAUGUCUAUGAAAUCUGGCAGCAAUCCCAAAAGACAAUGGUGAGACACAGUUCACCUCAAAAACGAAAUCACAAUGAAAAUGUAAAUACAAGAAAGAUGGCUCUUGUUCGCCAGAAGUUCAUGGAAGCAAAACGUCUGUCAACAGAUGAAAAGGGCCGCCAGUCCAAGGAAUUCCAAGAUGCACUUGAAGUGUUAAGUUCCAAUAAAGAUUUAUUCCUCAAGUUUCUGCAGGAACCAAAUUCAUUGUUCUCUCAACAUCUGCAUGACAUGCAAUCUAUGCCUCCAUCUCCUGAGACAAAGCACAUCACAGUUCUUAGGCCUUCUAAGGUGGUUGAUAAUGAAAGGUUUGCUGGGUCAGGGAAGAAGAGUGAUAAACCUACAAAGCAACAGGUACAUACUGGGCAAGCUACUGGGUGGGAAAGCAAUCUUGGAUAUUCUCCUGCCUUUUCCAAUGAGAAGAUUGUUGAAUACCCUCCUGCUCAACCCACUCGAAUAGUAGUAUUGAAACCUAGCCCUGGGAAGAUCCAUGACAUCAAGGCUCUGGUAUCACCACCCUCAUCACCACCAAGAAUGUUACACGGUGAAGAUUUUUAUGAUGAACCUGAAGAUGUUGAGGGUCAGGAACCAAGAGAGGUGGCAAAGUUGAUCACUCGGAACAUGCGUGAAAACCUGAUGGGCCACCGGAGGGAUGAAACUCUUCUUUCUUCCGUGUAUUCCAAUGGCUACACUGGUGAUGACAGUUCAUUUAACAAAUCAGUAAAUGACUAUG
rnacentral:lncRNA from 1 species